CCACCAUUAAAAGUGAUAUAAAUAACAUCGUUAUUCAAUAAUUACAAUCAGUUGCGUAAUCCAAACUAAACAAGCCCAAGAAAAUUCAUUUGCUGAAGCUUUUCAUUCCUUGCAUUACAAGAGACACUUUUACAUAUUACAUAUUGGUAAAUCUUGUGGAUUCUUUUUCUGCAGGUAUGAAUUACAAGAAGAUCAAUCAUUGCUUGGUGAAGAUCAAUUUGAGUAUGAUCUUGACUGGGUAAAGGGUCAAAUAAAUUCUUCGUUAGAGGUGUGGCGAGGAGAAAGAGAAGCCAGUUACACACCUGAAGACGAGCGCUGGAAAUGCAGGUCUUGCAAGUUUGCUUCUGAAUGUCCAGCCAGCAAUUAUGGCUCUCCAAGAAGAAAGGACACUGAAGGUAACUCGGAGAACAGAUAAGCUAUAACCGGUUAACGUACAUUGAUAGUGUAAAAUUUCUUUACACUAUCAGUGAAUAUAUAACUUUAACGAACUUGGUGUACACGAUUGGGGUCGAAGAAGCUAGCAGUUUUAUACUCCUAGCUGUAGGUAGAUUCUUAACCUGAAAAUUCAUUGUUGUACCAAUUCUUGUUUUCCCAUUGUAGGUUAUUAUUCAUUUAUCUUGUAAUUGUUGAGGCUCAAUUCAUUGUUGUUUGUAAUGUCAAAGGUAUUGACAUGAUCACUGUGAUUUAUAUCCGUUUGAUAUACGCAAGAUGGUUGAUUCUUACGCUUA